rnacentral:rRNA from 1 species
GGAUUCCCUAGUACGGCGAGUGAAGCGGGAAGAGCUCAAAUUUAAAAUCUGGCAGUGUAUUCUGUCCGAGUUGUAGUCUAGAAAAGCAUCAUCCGUGCUGGACCAUGUACAAGUCUCUUGGAACAGAGCGUCAUAGAGGGUGAGAAUCCCGUCCUUGACAUGGACUCCCAGUACUUUGUGUUGUGCUCUCAACGAGUCGAGUUGUUUGGGAAUGCAGCUCAAAAUGGGUGGUAAAUUCCAUCUAAAGCUAAAUAUUGGCGAGAGACCGAUAGCGAACAAGUACCGUGAGGGAAAGAGGAAAAGCACUUUGGAGAGAGAGUUAAACAGUACGUGAAAUUGUUGAAAUGGAAACCCUUGAAGUCAGUCGCGUUCUCUGGGAUUCACCCUUGCUUUUGCUUGGUGCAUUUCCUAGUCUACGGGCCAGCAUGAAUUUUGACCAAUGGAAAAAGGCUUGGGGAAUGUGGCACCUUCGGGUGUGUUAUAGCCCCUUGUCAUACACGUUGGUUGGGAUUGAGGUCUUAGUGCACGCUUCGGUUGUGCUUUGAUGCUGGCGUAAUGGCUUUAAGCGACCCGUCUUGAAACACGGACCAAGGAGUCUAACAUGUCUGCAAGUGUUUGGGUGCAAAACCCGAGCGCGUAAUGAAAGUGAUAGUUGGGAACCUCUUCAGAGGGGCACCGACGCCCGGACCAGACCUUCUGUGACGGAUCCAAGGUAGAGCAUAUAUGUUGGGACCCGAAAGAUGGUGAACUAUGCCUGCAUAGGGUGAAGCCAGAGGAAACUCUGGUGGAGGCUCGUAGCGAUUCUGACGUGCAAAUCGAUCGUAAAUGUGGUAUAGGGGCGAAAGACUAAUCGAACCAUUGGUUGUGCUACUUGGUGGUAAGAGGCAUCUGAAAGGAUUAGCCUAG